rnacentral:rRNA from 1 species
GACGAACCGUGCGAACGUUGUUCGGAAUCACUGGGCUUAAAGGGCGCGUAGACGGGCUGCCAAGUCUGGGGUGAAAUCCCACGGCUCAACCGUGGAACUGCCUCGGAUACUGGCGGCCUCGAGGGGGGUAGGGGCGUGCGGAACUGUGGGUGGAGCGGUGAAAUGCGUUGAUAUCCACAGGAACUCCGGUGGCGAAGGCGGCACGCUGGACCUCUUCUGACGCUGAGGCGCGAAAGCCAGGGGAGCAAACGGG